GUGUCAGCAGCCGCGGUAAUACAGAGGGUGCAAGCGUUAAUCGGAGUUACUGGGCGUAAAGGGCGCGUAGGUGGUUGAAUAAGUGAGAUGUGAAAGCCCUGGGCUUAACCUAGGAACUGCAUCUUAUACUGUUCAACUGGAGUACUGUAGAGGGUAGUGGAAUUUCCGGUGUAGCGGUGAAAUGCGUAGAGAUCGGAAGGAACACCAGUGGCGAAGGCGGCUACCUGGACAGAUACUGACACUGAGGCGCGAGAGCGUGGGGAGCAAACAGGAUUAGAUACCCUCGUAGUCC
rnacentral:rRNA from 1 species